GAAAAUCGUCUCAAAGUGGGUAAAAAAGAUGUCCUCCAUAAGACAAGGCAAAAAAGUUACAAUGUCUGUUUUCUUCGUUUCCCAAAUGAGGUAUUAUAAAGUAGAUCUCCAUUCCAUGCAUUUCAUGUUAGUGUAACUAAAGAACAUCAUGCAUCUUUUUUCUUGGUAUAAACAUAUGUAGUGUUAAUUGCAAUAUUAAUUUUGCAGGCUUGUAUAUGAAAGAGGAAGCGUUCAAUCUUCCAAUGAAAUCCAUUUUUUGGUGGUGACCCAUAUCAGGAGUUCUCGCUUAAGGCAUUCAACAAAUUAAUUUUGAACUCAAACAUACAGACAACAUAACUUAAAAUGAUGUACUCUAUUUAUAGCCACAAUUUCCAAUAUCUGCUUCACCGUCUUUAUCGAUAGCAGGUUUAAUCUCUAUGAUAUUCCCAAAAAACCAUUUUACCAUCUCAAUUUGGGAAUAUCACAGAGAUUAAACCUGCUAUCG
rnacentral:misc_RNA from 1 species